rnacentral:rRNA from 1 species
AUACGGAGGGUGCAAGCGUUAAUCGGAAUCACUGGGCGUAAAGCGUGCGUAGGCGGCGCAGUAAGUCAGGGGUGAAAGCCCUCGGCUCAACCGAGGAAUUGCCUCUGAUACUGCUGUGCUUGAGGCUUGGAGAGGCAGGCGGAAUUCCAGGUGUAGGAGUGAAAUCCGUAGAUAUCUGGAGGAACACCGGUGGCGAAGGCGGCCUGCUGGACAAGUUCUGACGCUGAGGUACGAAAGCGUGGGUAGCAAACAGGAUUAGAUACCCUGGUAGUCCACGCCGUAAACGAUGGAUGCUAGGUGUCGGGCCGUUGGGUUCGGUGCCGUAGUUAACGCGAUAAGCAUCCCGCCUGGGGAGUACGGUCGCAAGGCUGAA